rnacentral:rRNA from 1 species
GGGCCCGCACAAGCGGUGGAGCAUGUGGUUUAAUUCGAUGCAACGCGAAGAACCUUACCAGGGCUUGACAUACUACGAAUCUCCUCGAAACGGGAGAGUGCCUUCGGGAAUGUAGAUACAGGUGGUGCAUGGCUGUCGUCAGCUCGUGUCGUGAGAUGUUGGUUAAGUCCCGCAACGAGCGCAACCCACGUCUUUAGUUGCCAGCAUUUAGUUGGGCACUCUAGAGAGACUGCCGGUGAUAAACCGGAGGAAGGUGUGGAUGACGUCAAGUCAUCAUGCCCCUUACAUCCUGGGCUACACACGUACUACAAUGCUACGGACAAAGGGCAGCAAGUUCGCGAGGAC